CAUACCAGGUAAUUCAUUUAAAAUUUUAGCUUUUGGUUUCUAGGUUUGAUUUCCAACUGCUCUAUGCUUCUCAGUUCUUCAGUUUGUUUGCCACUUAUGAGACAUCUAAAUCACCAUCAUCUAAGCCUUAUCCCGACUAAUUGGUGUUGGCUUCUGAGACAUCUAAAUAAACAGUGAAAAUUACAUAUGCGCUACACCAACCAAGGCUUUAGAACUCGCCAAAACCAAGUGGACUUGGUUUUGCUAAGGAACAAAUUGAUAGGUCCCUUUGAAAUAUAUAUGUUUCAGGAUGAGUUGCUGUGUGACAGGUGGCAGUUUUAACUAACAGAGCCACAAACUUACAUAUUCCUAACUACCCAAGUCUCCCAUCUCAGUUGAUGUGCCAGGUUCACAAUGUUACACUACAUGCAUGUUUUAACUCAUACUCAAUCUUCCUUUAGUCUUUAUGUUUCCCUUAGUAGAUGCUCUCUAAUACCUUUCUGGUUGCAUAUUUUGCUUGGAACUACAGGCAGAGAGAGCUGCUGAUGAGAUUUACACCCAAACGACUCUUCAGCCGGUGAACUCUGACUGGCUAUUGGCUUAUAUUCCGGCAUCACGUAUGGCCUACAAGAAGCUCGGGGAGCUCAUGAUUGGAAAAACAGUGUGGUGGCAGGGGCAUUGACAGGAGCAGCAUUGGUGCUCACUUGCAAGGACGCCUCUCAUGAGCAGGUUAUUCAUUGCGCCAUCACUGGAGCAGCGCUCUCAACAGCUAUGAAUCUUCUCGCCGGG